rnacentral:rRNA from 1 species
AGAGUUUGAUCCUGGCUCAGGAUGAACGCUAGCGGUAGGCUUAACACAUGCAAGUCGAGGGGUAACAUUAUAGUUUACUAUAGAUGACGACCGGCGCACGGGUGCGUAACGCGUAUGCAAUCUGCCUUAUACAGAAGAAUAGCCCUGAGAAAUUGGGAUUAAUGCUUCAUGGUAUUAUGAAUUCGCAUGAAUUUAUAAUUAAAACUUCGGUGGUAUAAGAUGGGCAUGCGUAUGAUUAGCUAGAUGGUGAGGUAACGGCUCACCAUGGCGACGAUCAUUAGGGGUCCUGAGAGGGUGAUCCCCCACACUGGUACUGAGACACGGACCAGACUCCUACGGGAGGCAGCAGUGAGGAAUAUUGGGCAAUGGAGGCAACUCUGACCCAGCCAUACCGCGUGAAGGAAGACUGUCCUAUGGAUUGUAAACUUCUUUUAUAUGUGAGGAAUAAGAGCUACGAGUAGUUUGAUGACAGUAACAUAUGAAUAAGAACCGGCUAACUCCGUGCCAGCAGCCGCGGUAAUACGGAGGGUUCAAGCGUUAUCCGGAUUUAUUGGGUUUAAAGGGUCCGUAGGCGGACUAAUAAGUCAGUGGUGAAAUCCUAUCGCUUAACGAUAGAACUGCCAUUGAAACUGUUAGUCUUGAAUUAUUUUGAAGUUGGCGGAAUGAGUAGUGUAGCGGUGAAAUGCAUAGAUAUUACUCAGAACACCGAUUGCGAAGGCAGCUGACUAAGAAUAUAUUGACGCUGAUGGACGAAAGCGUAGGUAGCGAACAGGAUUAGAUACCCUGGUAGUCUACGCAGUAAACGAUGGAUACUAGUUGUCGGGGAAAUUGAGACUCGGUGGCUAAGCGAAAGUGAUAAGUAUCCCACCUGGGGAGUACGAUCGCAAGAUUGAAACUCAAAGGAAUUGACGGGGGCCCGCACAAGCGGUGGAGCAUGUGGUUUAAUUCGAUGAUACGCGAGGAACCUUACCUGGGCUUAAAUGUAUAAUGACCGUACUAGAAAUAGUAUUUCCCGCAAGGGCAUUAUACAAGGUGCUGCAUGGUUGUCGUCAGCUCGUGCCGUGAGGUGUCAGGUUAAGUCCUAUAACGAGCGCAACCCCUAUCGAUAGUUGCUAGCAGGUAAUGCUGAGGACUCUAUUGAGACUGCCGGUGCAAACCGUGAGGAAGGUGGGGAUGACGUCAAAUCAUCACGGCCCUUACGUCCAGGGCCACACACGUGCUACAGUGGUGCAUACAGAGAGCAGCCAACUCGCGAGAGAGAGCGAAUCUUCAAAGUGCAUCACAGUUCGGAUCGUAGUCUGCAACUCGACUACGUGAAGCUGGAAUCGCUAGUAAUCGCAGAUCAGCCAUGCUGCGGUGAAUACGUUCCCGGGCCUUGUACACACCGCCCGUCAAGCCAUGGAAGCUGGGGGUACCUGAAGUACGUAACCGUAAGGAGCGUCCUAGGGUAAAACUGGUAACUGGGGCUAAGUCGUAACAAGGUAGCCGU